rnacentral:rRNA from 1 species
GAUGAACGCUAGCGGCAGGCCUAAUACAUGCAAGUCGGACGGGAUUUGGGAGCUUGCUCCUAAUGAGAGUGGCGCACGGGUGCGUAACACGUAUGUAACCUACCUUAAUCAGGGGGAUAGCCUCUCGAAAGAGAGAUUAACACCGCAUAAUAUAUUUUUAUGGCAUCGUAGAAAUAUCAAAUAUUUAUAGGAUUAAGAUGGGCAUGCGGAACAUUAGCUAGUUGGUAAGGUAACGGCUUACCAAGGCUACGAUGUUUAGGGGAUCUGAGAGGAUGACCCCCCACCCUGGUACUGGGACACGGACCAGACUCCUACGGGAGGCAGCAGUAAGGAAUAUUGGUCAAUGAGCGCAAGCCUGAACCAGCCAUGCCGCGUGCAGGAAGACGGCCCUAUGGGUUGUAAACUGCUUUUGUACCGGAAUAAACCCUUUUACGUGUAAGAGGCUGAAUGUACGGUAAGAAUAAGGAUCGGCUAACUCCGUGCCAGCCGCCGCAGUAA